CCGGGCGAGGAACAGGCACACUGGGAGUGCAGAUCAAGGACUGGAAUCGAGGCAGGAGGAACAAGCGAUUUUCCUGACGCGGAAGAAUCAGCCGCUGAGAUGCUGAGGUAGGAGACGAACUCGUAUCGGAGAAAGUCAGCUGAAAAUAACCAAUCAUAUAUAAUGACAGACCCUGGAAACAAGCUGGGAAAGUCGGCCAAAAAAAUCCAUUUGAAGGGUGCCAGAAGAACGGCAACAAAAUGGAAAAUCUUGAGAAAGGAAUAAUGAAGGUGAUUGCGGGUCUAGGAAAUGGGUGAUCGGAAGACAUCACAGGGAGGAUACAAGGAAUUUACUAUUCACCCUAAAGUUAUUCAGGAUAAAGAAGCAAACUGUUUAAGUUACAAGGAGAAAAAAAUAAAUAAGUCUUCUGGAAUCUUGGUUACUUCGUUCCUCCAAGUUGAUACUGAAGCUUUGGGAAACUGAUCUUAGAUCAGUUUGGAGGGAAACUGUUUCACUUUGGAGAAA